GUGAGUCAUCGAGUCUUUGAACGCACCUUGCGCUCCUUGGUAUUCCGAGGAGCACACCUGUUUGAGUGUCAUGAAAUUCUCAACCUUACAAACUUUUGUGUUUGAUUUGGCUUGGAGUUGGAGGCUUGCUGAUGGGAAAUUCCUUUGGCUCCUCUCAAAUGCAUUAGCUUGGUUCCUUGCGGAUUGGCUCCUGGUGUGAUAAAUGUUUACGCCGCAGCUGUUGAAGCGAUUUGGGCAAGCUCCUAACCGUCUCGAUAUUGAGAGACAGCUUUUUGAACAUGACAUCUGACCUCAAAUCAGGUGGGACUACCCGCUGAACUUAA
rnacentral:rRNA from 1 species